rnacentral:lncRNA from 1 species
GGGGCCACUCGCCCUCCAGGGUCUCAUGGUCUACACCAAUGCACCUCAAACCUGAGUGAGUGAAAACAGAGUCACCUGGGGGCCUUGUUCAAACACGGACCAUGGGCCGUAGCCCAGAGUUUCCGGUUCACAGGUCUGGGCGGGAUCCUGGGCAAUGCUGAUGCCGCUGGCCCCGGACCACACUUUGCAAACUGCUUGUGUCCACGGACGGCUGCCGUGGUCCUGGCUGGGACGAGGGGCAGAGACCAUGCUCUCUUCAAACUCGGGAGCUGCCUCAGUCCUUGGAGGAAGGAGGCAGGACACAAACGAUUGACACAACAUGAAAACACGCAUCUGCCCCCUGCAGUGCCCAGAGGGUGCCCGGCACAGGGUGGUGCUCAAGCUGAAUGCGUGCUCGUGGUGCUGGCUCUGUGCUCACGCAUCUUCCAGGUCCCCCAUGCCCAAGUCCUGCAAGGUGGGGGCUGAUGCGACCCCUGUUUUACAGGUGAGGAAGCUGAGGCUCAGAGAGGGCAAGUGACCCACCCAAAGUCGCACAGCCAGCGAGUUGGAGGCCUGACUUCAUGCAGUGGGGGGACUAGCGGUUGUGGUGUCACUUCUGGUUACCUAGUCUUAGUCAUUUGGAAGAGGAAGGAUGUGGAGAAAUGGAAGUGUGUUGUGCCGGGGAGGGACUGGGGACAGAGAGGGGCCCAGGAGUCUGGGCAAGUGGGUGUGGGCGUUGGAAGGAGCAGCCGCUCAAGGUCGCUGGGUGAGCCUGGAACCCAGGGAUCCUGCCUUCACUGGAUCUGACGUCCACCCCGCCAUUCUGUAGGGGUCUCCUUGCACCAAGUGGUCCCCUCCGUCACCGCCCCUUAUGCACACAAUGACAGGAACGGGACCCUUUGGGGUCGGGUGGGGGCGCCUGGAGAGAGAGCCUGCUGUGCUCAGCAUCAGCACCUACUGUCGGGCACACCCGGAUGGGCCUUGAGGGGCGCUGGGCAUCCAGGUCCCGAGUUCUGGCCUCUGAGCAGAGCUCUAGGCCCCUGUCCCCAACACCCACCCACAUGCCCUGCACGCCGUCCUGGGUCUGGCUGUGAGGGUUUUGCUGGGCAGGGGGCAGCCCGGUGGGGAGGGGCCGGGAGUCUGGGUCUGAGCUGCCUCGCUCUGGUCCCGUUUCCCAGCCACAAACUGCACCCUGGCCCGGGCCCUACAUGCUGGGAGACUGCGAGACAGGUCAGUGCCCCUUACAUCCCCACCGUGGGCAACCCUUUCUCUGACUGCGCCCCAGAGGGAGCACGGGCCCCCACCUUUUUAAUAAUUCAGUCAGUCUCCAAACUACCUUUAGCCCUUUACAAAACCUUUUGCCCUCCAUUAUCUUCCCAAUAAUAAUAACAACAACAUUAACGCUAUUUCGGGGUAUGUGCCAGGCCCCAGGCUGGGCCACUUACAUCCUACAUCUCUCUGGGCCCUCACAGCAGCUCCUGGGGAUGGAUGCCAACAUCACCCCCAUUUGACAGAUGAGGAGGCCGAAGUUCCUGGAACCCCUCCCCAGCAGCCCCCAGCACCAGCUGUGAAGGCAGCGGCCGGGGUCUGGCCAGGCGGGUGUGUUCCGACAGACAGGGCCGCCCAGGACUGGGGCUCCCACUCCAGCAGUGGGAGAAAAGCCGUGGGAGAAGAGGAAGGUGAGGCCCUUGGGGCUCUGGGCAGCUCCCAGCGCCCCCACUCCUUGGCUCCUUUCCGUGGGUCCUUGCCCUCUGCCCAUGCCACCCGCUGGUUUGACCCCACCCUGGCCCUCAUUUCCUCUCUGGUUCCCACCAUCAGAAGCAUCUGCCGUGGGCCUGGCUGUUCGGUUUCUCCCGAGCAGACCCAGCAAGCGAUGCCUCUCUGAGGUUGUGUGCUCACUUUGCAAAACAGCAGAAAUUUAUAGCCCAAGUAAUUGAUCACGGUGCCUCCGCCUCCCUCCAUCUCUCUCUGUCUCCUAAUUCCCUUCUCCCUGCUCUCUUCUCUCUUUUUUCUCAGCGCGCCAUCUGUGGUGUCAGAGAAAAGGAAGCCAAGAAGUGGGGGGGGGGGGGGGGGGGGGGUUUAGUCCCAGUUCUGCCAAGUACGAGUCACAUGAACCUCAGUUUUCCCCUCCGCAAAGCGGAGACGUUAAUACCUGCUCACAGGUGCGCUGGGCUGGGCCCUGUGGGUGCUGGGGCUGUGAGGAGCCCCGUACAGUGUGACUUUACUCCCUAGGGCAAUCUGUGAGCUGGGGUGGCUCUCGGGCCUACCUUCCAGAUGGAGGCACUGGGCCCAGAGAGCUCAGGGCGUUCGCUCGGGCUCACAGAGGUGGUAAACAGCAGCCCUGGGCUUGAACCCUCGAUGGUGGUGCUGCAAAGCCCAAACC